GACGAACGCUGGCGGCGUGCUUAACACAUGCAAGUCGAACGGAAAGGCCCUGCUUGCAGGGUACUCGAGUGGCGAACGGGUGAGUAACACGUGGGUGAUCUGCCCUGCACUUCGGGAUAAGCCUGGGAAACUGGGUCUAAUACCGGAUAGGAGCCAUUUUUAGUGUGAUGGUUGGAAAGUUUUUUCGGUGUAGGAUGAGCUCGCGGCCUAUCAGCUUGUUGGUGGGGUAAUGGCCUACCAAGGCGGCGACGGGUAGCCGGCCUGAGAGGGUGGACGGCCACAUUGGGACUGAGAUACGGCCCAGACUCCUACGGGAGGCAGCAGUGGGGAAUAUUGCACAAGGGGCGCAAGCCUGAUGCAGCGACGCCGCGUGGGGGAUGACGGCCUUCGGGUUGGAAACUCCUUUCGCUAGGGACGAAGCUUUUUGUGACGGUACCUAGAUAAGAAGCACCGGCUAACUACGUG
rnacentral:rRNA from 1 species